rnacentral:lncRNA from 1 species
ACUGGGAUGCCUCCAUCAAAUUCCUCCCUUCAGAGCUUAGGGAAACCCACUGGAGAGGAUGCAGAACCUAAGAGCCAGAGGGGAUGGAAGACACCAGGAGAACAAGGCCUUCUACAUCAACUUGAGCACAGUUCAUAUGAACCCAGAGACUGAAAGAGCAAGCACAGGGCCUGCGAAGGUCCACUAUGAUUGAGAAAAUAUUAACCAGACUGUAUGGCCUGAACGUGGCUUUGAUGUCCUCAUUCUUCCUUUCUGAAGAGAAAGGCAUUUGUACCACAGGAACCUGACAGCAAUUGUUCUGAUUCAUGGCUUAGGAGGAGCAGCUGAUUAAUCCCUUGUCAGCAGUCUUGACCCGGUGUGGAAAAUAGAAUCUUCGAAGGCCUACUCACCAAUAUAUCAGGAGCAAGGCAGCAUGGCUUACAUCGCUCUUAAAUUCAAGGAAAGUUUAAGACAAUGCCAAGCAGCAAUCCUGGUCUCAGAAAUGCUUUAUAGGAACAUUUGGACACAGAACAGGAACAUACCAGGGAGAAGAGUUGAACAAUUGUGGCUUUCUUCCCUGGAAUAAAAAUCUUAUAUUUUCGGUCCUCCACAAAAUACUUUUUAAAAAAAAAUCACUAUUUUCUUUAUCAUAACUAUUGUGGUCUGUGUUUUGAUAUGAUAUAACAUGUUUUGGGAAUUUUAAAUCAUUCCAUUUCCUUCCCUCUUCAAUGAGUAUAGACACUAUGAACAUAGAACUCUAAUUUGUACAUUGUAUAAAAUAAUUGCAAA